UACGUAGGGUGCGAGCGUUAAUCGGAAUUACUGGGCGUAAAGCGUGCGCAGGCGGUUGUGCAAGACAGAUGUGAAAUCCCCGGGCUCAACCUGGGAAUUGCAUUUGUGACUGCACGGCUAGAGUGUGUCAGAGGGGGGUAGAAUUCCACGUGUAGCAGUGAAAUGCGUAGAGAUGUGGAGGAAUACCGAUGGCGAAGGCAGCCCCCUGGGAUAACGACUGACGCUCAUGCACGAAAGCGUGGGGAGCAAACAGAUG
rnacentral:rRNA from 1 species